UGGAUUUUCCUCAUUAAA
rnacentral:tRNA from 1 species